rnacentral:lncRNA from 1 species
GGAGGAACUAGUAAUUUGGGACGGGGGUAGUAGUUGUAUUUUAAUACACGUAGGUCUGUUGGUGGAUACAGUGGAUGGCAGCGAAUGAAGUUGCUAAAGAAUGACCGUUCACUUUACCAAUGAACACUCUUUGUUGACUCUAUGGCUUAUACGUUGAUUCCAACUCACUUUGCCAACCACUAAGAGUAGAUCAUUUUCAUAUGUGUGCGGGAAAGAAUGUCUUUUGUCUUUCGUAAACUAUAAAGGAUAGUGCCUUUGACGCUCAGACUGGUUCGUGGAAAUUACUGUCUGAACUUUAGUUGUUACGUUGGGCGUUUGUUUACUGACAGAAAGCAAUCUAAUGCUCACUCCGGGCUGGACUUUGCUUUUCAGUCAACGACUUAUUAGGUCCACGUAGUCAACUUCACCUUUGGGUGCAGCAUUGCACAUUACCGUGCGUCUUCAUCUGCCAAGACUGCCAUUUCCAAGAAGAAAAUAGGGUUUAUUGGGCGUUAUACUAUAGUACUACAGCGAGACUUAUCAAGAUACUAACGGAAUAGGAUGUGUUACUGAAACGACAAGAAAUUUCUUUGGUCCAAAAGAACACGUACAGUUUCUCUGCUAUUACGCAGUGCCUGGCAUCUGUUCCGUGCUUCUACUGGGGAUUUCUAUCUUUCGCAAGCGCCCUCCUAUAAAUACCUAAGCAAGCUCACUCCAUCCA